rnacentral:rRNA from 1 species
UACGGGAGGCAGCAGUGGGGAAUAUUGCACAAUGGGCGCAAGCCUGAUGCAGCCAUGCCGCGUGUAUGAAGAAGGCCUUCGGGUUGUAAAGUACUUUCAGCGGGGAGGAAGGCGGUGGAGUUAAUAGCUUCACCGAUUGACGUUACCCGCAGAAGAAGCACCGGCUAACUCCGUGCCAGCAGCCGCGGUAAUACGGAGGGUGCAAGCGUUAAUCGGAAUUACUGGGCGUAAAGCGCACGCAGGCGGUCUGUCAAGUCGGAUGUGAAAUCCCCGGGCUUAACCUGGGAACUGCAUUCGAAACUGGCAGGCUAGAGUCUUGUAGAGGGGGUAGAAUUCCAGGUGUAGCGGUGAAAUGCGUAGAGAUCUGGAGGAAUACCGGUGGCGAAGGCGGCCCCUGGGACAAAGACUGACGCUCAGGUGCGAAAGCGUGGGGAGCAAACGAGGAUUAGGAUACC